rnacentral:rRNA from 1 species
UACGUAGGGGGCAAGCGUUGUCCGGAUUUAUUGGGCGUAAAGAGCGUGUAGGCGGUUUGGUAGGUCCGUUGUGAAAACUCGAGGCUCAACCUCGAGACGCCGAUGGAAACCAUCAGACUAGAGUCCGGAAGAGGAGAGUGGAAUUCCUGGUGUAGCGGUGAAAUGCGCAGAUAUCAGGAAGAACACCCGUGGCUAAGGCGGCUCUCUAGUACGGUACUGACGCUGAUACGCGAAAGCGUGGGGAGCAAACAGG